rnacentral:rRNA from 1 species
GACGAACGCUGGCGGCGUGCUUAACACAUGCAAGUCGAACGGAAAGGCCCUGCUUUUGUGGGGUGCUCGAGUGGCGAACGGGUGAGUAACACGUGAGUAACCUGCUCUUGACUUUGGGAUAACUUCAGGAAACUGGGGCUAAUACCGGAUAGGAGCUCCUGCUGCAUGGUGGGGGUUGGAAAGUUUCGGCGGUUGGUGAUGGACUCGCGGCUUAUCAGCUUGUUGGUGGGGUAGUGGCUUACCAAGGCUUUGACGGGUAGCCGGCCUGAGAGGGUGACCGGCCACAUUGGGACUGAGAUACGGCCCAGACUCGUACGGGAGGCAGCAGUGGGGAAUAUUGCACAAUGGGAGGAAGCAUGAUGCAGCAAAGCCGCGUGCGGGAUGACGGCAUUCGGGUUGUAAACCGCUUUCGCCUGUGACGAAGCGUGAGUGACGGUAAUGGGUAAAGAAGCACCGGCUAACUACGUG